rnacentral:misc_RNA from 1 species
GAUGAAGAACGCAGCGAAAUGCGAUAAGUAAUGUGAAUUGCAGAAUUCAGUGAAUCAUCGAAUCUUUGAACGCACAUUGCGCCCGCCCGUAUUCUGGCGAGCAUGCCUGUUCGAGCGUCAUUUCAACCAUCAAGCCCCAGGCUUGUGUUGGAGCCCUGCGGCUGCCGCAGCCUCCCAAAACCAGUGGCGGGCUCGCUAUCACACCGAGUGCAGUAGUUUACUCUUCGCUCAGGGCGUGUGGCGGGUGCUAGCCGUGAAACCCCCAACUUCUCAAGGUUGACCUCGGAUCAGGUAGGAAUACCCGCUGAACUUAAGCAUAUCAAUAAGCGGAGGA